rnacentral:misc_RNA from 1 species
UUUCCGUAGGUGGACCUGCGGAAGGAUCAUUAUUGUAUAACCGAGGUGCGAGGGCUGUCGCUGACCCGAAAGGUCGUGCACGCCCGAGUGCCCUCACACACAUCCAUCUCACCCCUAUGUGCACCACCGCGUGGGUCCCCCUUUGGCUUGUUCGGAGGGGGGCUUACGUUUUCACACAAACUUUGUAUGCAGUGUAGAAUGUAUUUUUUGUUUUUGCGAUCACGCAAUCAAUACAACUUUCAACAACGGAUCUCUUGGUUCUG